GGCGUAAAGCGCAUGCAGGUGGGUGGACAAGUCUGAUGUGAAAGCCCCGGGCUCAACCUGGGAAGUGCAUUGGAAACUGUUCAUCUUGAGUGCUGUAGAGGGGGGUAGAAUUUC
rnacentral:rRNA from 1 species